UUUACGCUCAAAAUCCAAAGGAAAUUUUAAAAAACAAAUAAAAUUCAAAUAGGGCCAAAUUAAAAGUCAGUGCAACAGGGAGGGAUUAAUUGCCCAAUUAUUCCCUUUAAACAAAACGCGCGGAUCCUCACGGGUAGUGGAUCGGGUUGAAACGGGUCACCCUAUACAGUGCCGUUUUGAGGCCAUUGAAGUUGGCCUAAAACGACAAUGUCUGAUGCCCUUUAUAAAAACAAAAAUAAACCCUAAAAUGAGACACCUAGUCAUUUUAAAAAACAAAACAAAACCUAAGCUAUUCUCUCUAUUAUUCGGCCGAACCAAAGGCUCCUUUCAACUGCCGUUUUGCCUCCAUACUCGACGGACGAUGCUAAAUCCGACUCUAUCUAGAGUCGUAUAAUCCUCAUUUGAACUUCGAUUUCAACGAAGCAAACAAGGACUCGAAGGCGUUCUUCAAAAAAAAGAAAAGAUAAGUCCCUUUCCCUCUUAUAUUUUGCGUGAAAGGUCUAUGUGCCGGAAUAAAGAAAAAAACAAAUUGAAACAUGGAAAAAUAAAUCUGAAAUCACCUUAAUUUUUUAUUGCUUCUUUGUAUUCAGUGUGUGUGUAAAAAAAAAUCCCCCAUACAUUGUUUACAAAUGGCUUUUUAUGGCCGAAAACCCCUUAAAAAUGAAAAGAAAUUGAAACUACAAUCAUUUUCUUUUCUGUUAUUUCUUUACUGUUGAUUCCUUGCUGUUAUUUUCUGUAGCUAUUAGUUUGUUGCAAGCGUGGAGGUCGUGGUGCUGCUGACAUGGCGAGGCCGUUCGUGGGGUGUGACGCGAAGGCUUCCAGAAGCUUCACUUGUUUGGGCUCUAUGAGCCUGCCUUGAAAUCGGACGGUUGGAGGCUGGAAGCCAUUGUUGCGGCGUGAGGAAACUUUGGUUUCUGAAAGAAAUAUUGGGCCUUUCGGGUCAACUUUGGGCUAGGGAUUAUGGGUUAGAUUUAGUAAUUGGGUUGUGUAGUUUGGGUUUAAUGGUUAGGAUUAUUAGGCCAUUCGGGUUAGGUUUAUUGGGUUAGGGAUUAAUUUGGUAUUUAAUUUAAUGUUUGGGUUUGGUUUGAUUUAGGCUUGAAAAUUUGUAAAUGGACAUUAGACCUUUAAAUUUUGACCUUUUAUUUGUUUUUUUUAUUUUGGUUUUUAAUUUAUUUUUCUGGGUUUAUUGCGGGCCGGGAAAAUUGGGCCUACUACAAUAAUGAAUUUAAAUAAUUUGGGUGCAUGAAAACAUGUUAAAAUGCUACAGUUCGAUUUAUGGUUUGUAGCUCUAAUACGUCGGAAGAUAUAGUUAUUUUCUAAAAAUGUUGAAGUUCAAACGAUUCCCAUAACUAUUACUACAAGAAAAAAGAGAUGUUCAAGGGGAGAAUAGUUGAUGAUUACAGGGACAAUCAAAAGGUCUACCUCUUUGAUGAUAGUGAAUAUAGAAAUAUCAAUAAGAAAAUGUAACAGAUAGUCCCAACAGAAAACAAAAUGAAAAAGAUAAUAAAAAAAAAUGAAAGAGAAAACGAGAGAGGUGAAGGGUUGAAUUGAAUUUUUUAUAUAAAUAUUUUUUUAAGAAAUAAUCUUAUUUUUGGAAAUAAGAAUAAAAGUAUCUUUGAUUAAGAAUUAAAUUUUUUUAAUACCUUAGAAAGGAUGGGUGAACCAACGAAUAAUAGCUUUGGUAGGGAGACAAAGAAAGUCCAGCGACGGGAGGAGGAUCCACCAGAUGAAGGGGGAGGUGAUACUCUUAUAGAACUUAUUGCUCCCAAGGCUAUUUCUUUAAGGGAUAUGGUUAUGAACUUUCGGCAGGGGGAUAGUCUAAAGGAUAACUCUUGGGCAGAGGAUGUCAUUGAAUUAAAAGAAGGCGAUAUGAGGAAGGAGAUUAUUGACAGUGUCCCAUCCAUUAAUUUCUUUGAUCGAGUUUUUUACUUAUUGAGAAAAUCAUGGCAAAGACUUUGGUAGUAAAGUUUCUUGGGAGGAAGAUAGGUUAUAAUGCGUUGUGGAACAAACUGUGCUCCAUAUCCAGCUGAUGGAUAUUGAGCAUGAUUAUUAUCUUGUAAAGUUUGAAUCAAUUAAGGACUAUACUAUGUUCUUUCUAAAAGACCUUGGGUGGUGUUUGGACAGUACUUGAUGGUUCAGCCAUGGUCACCCCAAUUCAUACCCUUAGAACCCUUUCCGCAUAAUUUUGUUGCAUGGAUACAUAUCCUAGGUCUAUUAGAAACCUUCUAUAAGAAAAGCAUUCUAAAGGAGAUUGGAGAGAUAAUUGGAAUUGUUAUCAAGAUUGAUCUUUAAAUGGAUAAGGGUUCAAGGGGAUAGUUUGCAAGAUUUGUUGUUUAAGUGGAUUUGUUGAAGCCCCUUGUAUCGAAAAUCCAGAUUGCCAAAAGAAACCAUAGAGUAAAGUAUGAAUCGCUUUCUAUGAUAUGCUUUCACUGGGGUACUUACGGUCACAUGAAAGACGACUACCCCCAAAACCAUAAUAAGGAACCAAUCGAUGGUGCAAACAAUAAUGUUCAACAACCAAAAGCUUCUGUCCAACAGCUAAAUGUGUGACAACCCAAAUUAGACCCUGGUCGGAAUGUGGUUUCGAGACCACAUUACCGAGCCAAAAAUUUAUUUUCGUGUUUUAAUUGCAUAAAUUGUUGUGUGACAGUGAAUGUAUGAGAAAUUAAAUGCUUAAUAUUAGCAUUAGGAUUGUGAAUUCAUUCAAAAAGGACCUAGUUGACGAAGUUAGAAAAGAUGAUAGAUGAAUUAUAAGGAUUAAUUAAUAAUAGGUUGAGGAAGCAUGGCUUUGCAUGUCAAUUUGCCCAUAAAAUUCAUGGUGGCCGGCCAAGGAGUGAUGAUGCUCCACUCAUUCUAAUUUAAUAUGUUUCUUUGGUGAACAAAUGAUGGGGAUAAUAAUAAAAAAGGGAACAAAAAAAAAUGGGUGUCAUACUUGCCAUCUCCUAGCCGAAAAACCAAGAAAAAGAAGGGGAGAAAAGAACUUGGAAGGAAUUCGGCCAUUGCUUGUGCCUAGGGAGAGUGUUUGAUGUUGUGGCAUGAAAAAUGAGGGAGUUUGAAUGCUUAAUAAGGAGGGAAGAAGGAGUGUUCAUAUUUUCUUUCUUUUGCAAUUGUUCUAACUAGAGGAAGAAGAGGAAGCAAGAUUCGGCCAAGGUGGUCCUUUAGACCAAGGUAUGUUCAAUGAUAUUUUUGGAAGCUUACCCUACCUUUGGGGUGAUGAGUCUAGAUUCUAUCUAUUCCAUGGUUGGAUUUGGGGUUGUUGGAGAGUUAGGAUUCGGCUAAGGAGUUUAAAAAUAAAAGCUAGUUGAUACCUUGAUGCUAUUAGCAUGCUAGUUAUAUGGUUGUGUUAAGUUGCUUGUUAUGUUAGCAUGAAAGUUGAAAAUUGUUAAGCUAUUUUGUUGGAGGUGCCGAACUUAGGACUAGGAAGAGAAUGAGUAUUCGGCUAACAUAGUGGAAAGGUGGUGUUGCCGAUUGCUAGAUUUAGACUAGGGGAGUGGCUGUAAUGGGCAUUAAGAUGUGGGACUUAAGAAAUGUAGUUAUAUGUGGACUUACAUGAUGUUACAAAUAGAUGUGAAAAUAUGCUAGAUUAGGAAAACUCGAUUAAGUGUUCAUGAGAUGAAAUUAGGUGUUUAAAUGAUGUUAUAGUUGACAUUGUACAUGUAUACAUGCAUUUCGGCCAUGGUCUUUGCUUGAAUUUGAGAUUUGUAAUGUGAUUUUCCUAAAUUGUCUAUGAAUUUUUGGUUGUUGAUUCCAUGGUAAUGGUAUAUUGAAUCCAUGAAAAUUUAGUAAGGUUGCAUUCGGCAACUUGCUUGGAAUUAAAAAUUGAUGUCUAAGCUUAGGUGAUUUCGAUGAUGAUAUAUAUAUAUUCAUAAGUAUAUUUAGUUGAUUCGGCUUUGGUAGUUGCAUGAGGCUAUUGGCCGAAUAUACUAACAUACAUAUACAUGUGAAAUUGGAUUGUAAAUAUUUAGCAAGGUGGUUAAACUAGUUAAAUUAUUGAUUUAGCUCAAGGAGUUAAAGGAGGUGAAUCGAGCAAAGGCAAAGAAAAGGUUAUCGAGUAGCCGAGUUGGAACCGUCUUACCCAACACGAGGUAAGUCAUUAAGCAUGUAGUGGGUAUUAUUUCAAAUGGUCAUAAUGUGUAUGUAUUGAUGCUGAUUGGAAUGAAUAAAUAUACAUAUAUAUAUAUGCAUGUACGUAUGUGAUGAUGAAAUUGUUGAAUGAGUGAAAAGAGGUAAGAUGUACUGAGUUGUUGAUCUCGGCACUAAACGUGCGGGAUAACCAUUUAUGACCAUGAGAUUGGCGCUAAGUGCGCGGGAUUAAAUUGUACAGCACUAAGUGUGCGAUUCGACUAUGUUGCACUAAGUGUGCGAAAUGAAUAUGAUGCACUAAGUGUGCGAAUUGACCAUGCGGCACUAAGUGUGCGAGUCUAACUAUGUAGCACUAAGUGUGCGAUUUGAUUACGUGGCACUAAGUGUGCGAGUUGAUUGUAUAGCACUGAGUGUGCGGGCUCAAUAUACAUUCGUGAAUCAUUAUGGACACUAUGUGUGCGACACUAUUGAGUCGAUCGCGGACAGCGGGUCGGGUAAGUGUCUUGAGCACGUGGUUAAUAGGUGCUAUGCUUAUACUUGGUGUUGAGCUCGGUAAGUUCGAACCUAUGUGACAUAUAUACUUGAAGUCACGUACAUAAAAUUUAUCGUAGGAUGGGUGAAAGGCCGUAUAGUCGUUUGAUUGUAACGAAAAUAAAUUGAUUUAUGAAAUUGCUUCAAUGUCCUAUUGAUGAGUAUAUAGAAUGUGAAUGCAUGAAUUGAUAUGAAAUUGAAUUGAGAGGUUGGAGGAACUAUGGUAUGGUUCGGUAUGGAUGGAGUAAAUUGUCUCGUUCUAUUUUGUUUCCUCUUGUGAUAAUGUUGUCGAUAGAUGGUAGUGCAUUGCUUAUGACUUACUGAGUUAUAAACUCACUCGAUGUUUCCUUGUCACCCAUUAUAGGUUGCUUGGACUCAUCUAUUUUUGCGGGGUCGGGCCGUCAUCGAAGUCAUCACACCGGAUAGCAAGUUUUGGUACUUUCUUCUUAGUGUGUUUAGAAGAUCAUUUUGGCAUGUAUAAGCUAGUACGUUGUGUUUGAAUUAUGGCAUGUAAACUUUAAGCCAUGCGAAAAUGGCACGAAUGUUCGAUUGAAUUGGAUCAAGGGUAGACAUGAAAUGGACCUAGUUACUUUCGUAACAGAUGCUGGCAGCAGCAGUGUCAUGAGAUUGAAAAAUCACUAAAAAUAGUAGGAGUGGAAUUAAUUGAUGAAUAAAUUAUGUAAUCGAAGCUCGAUGAGUCUGCUUUCAUGAGGAGGUAACGAAAAGAUCAUAUGGGCAGUAUAUUAAGAGAUAAUCAGAUUUUAGUGGGACAGGGCCAGAACGGUUUCUGGAUUCCCUGCUCCGACUUUGGAAAUUCAUUAUAAAUUAACCAGAGAUAAUUAGGGGUCGUACCACAUAUGUACAGAUUCCUCUCUAAGUCUAGUUUUCAUAGAAACAAACGGAAACAGAAUUGAAGCCCCGUGCAGGGAGAUAUCCAAGUCGUAAUGGGCAAAGGUCAGUGUAGUCGACCCCUGCAACUUGGGAGACUUUGACUAAUAAACUGUACUAAUUGGCCCGACCAAAAAUUCUAGAAAAAAAUACAUAGAUGGGCACAUGAGUCUAGUUUCGGGGAAAAAUUACGAAACUGAUUUUUGAGUUACGAAACUCAAGAUAUGAUUUUUAAAACGACUAGUACACAGAUUGGGCAGUGUCUGGAAAAUAAAUUUUGUAAGGGGUUAAAGCCAGUUAACACCUCGUGUUCGACUCCGGUGUCGGUUUCGGGUUCGGGGUGUUACAUUUUAUUGGUAUCAGAGCUAUGGUUUAGUCGGUUCUAGGACUUCCAUAGCACGUAUGAGUCUAGCUAUACAUGCCAUAAUGUUAAUGUUUAAAAGGGUGAUGACUUCUGACGGUUGAAAUGUUUUUGUCUUGAUUAGUAAAUGGAUCCCGGUGAAGAAAGAACCCUAGCGGAUGACGUUGAGAGCGUAGCGGCUGCUCCUGCACAAGGGACGCCACCUGUUGAACCUCAGUCAUCUGCGAAUAAUCAAGGUGAGGGGGCUAAAGAAGCCUUCUUUACCAUGAUGAAUGAGUGAGUCGCGCAAUAUGCCCGAGCCAACCCGGCUGUCCAACAAUUCCCAAAUUUGAAUAACCCACCCCAAGAGCCUGUAAGGCCGUCAGUCGCUGAUCCUGUGAGGCUGAGUAAGCCACCUGUAGACUUGAUUAGGAAGCGUGGGGCCGAGGAGUUCAAGGCCAUAGUAACUGAUGAUGCCGAAAGGGCCGAGUUCUGGCUUGAUAACACCAUUCGGGUGUUCGAUGAAUUGUCAUGCACACCCGAUGAAUGUCUAAAAUGUGCUGUAUCUUUGUUGCGAGACUCAGCCUACUAUUGGUGGAGGACCUUGAUUUCCAUAGUCCCGAACGAGCAAGUAACUUGGGACUUCUUUCAAACGGAAUUCCGGAAGAAAUUUAUUAGCCAACGGUUCAUUGACCAGAAGCGUAAGGAGUUCUUGGAACUCAAGCAAGGCCGUAUGACUGUAUCUGAAUACGAACAUGAAUUCAUAAGACUUAGUAGGUAUGCCCGGGAGUGUGUAGCUGAUGAGGUUGCUAUGUGCAAAAGAUUUGAGGAAGGAUUGAACGAAGAUUUAAAGCUACUAAUGGGUAUUCUGGAAAUAAAGGAAUUCGUAACACUAGUCGAACGAGCCUGCAAGGCGGAGGAACUUGGAAAGGAGAAGAAGAAGGCUGAAUUUGAAGCUAGAGAUUAUCGUAAAAGAUCGACGGGUAAAGCUCCGUUCUCAGCUGUGAAGAAGUUCAGGGAGGACAUUAAUAAGUCGAGGGCGACUGCGGGAAUUUCCAUCAGGGCAAGACCAUCGAUGGGCUCCCGAGCUACUUCGGUAGCUAGUGUGGGCAAUAAUCGUCACGAGAAACCUGAAUGUCCCCAAUGUGGAAGACGACACCUAGGUGAAUGUUGGGGCAAGUCUACUAACAGGGCCUGUUACGGAUGCGGUUCGAAGGACCACUUCAUUAGAGAUUGCACGGAGCUGGAUGAGAAGAAUAAGAUUCAAGGUGCAAGACCUAGUGGAGUGACAUCUAGAGGUAGACCACCGAGAAUUUUAGGAGGCAGGGGUGGUAGUCAGAGGGGGGCCUCUGAUACGGCCGAUCGCGCCGAGAACCGUACUCCUGCUAGAGCGUAUGCCAUUCGCGCACGAGAGGAGGCAUCCUCCCCCGACGUCAUCACUGGUACCUUCACUCUCUUUGAUACUAAUGUGAUUGCAUUGAUUGACCCUGGCUCUACUCAUUCAUAUGUAUGCGAAACCUUAGCAUCCAGUAAGACUCUACCUGUUGAGUCUACUGAGCUAGUAAUUCGAGUGUCAAACCCUUUGGGUCAAUGCAUACUUGUUGAUAAAGUGUGUAAGAGAUGCCCUCUAAUAAUCCGAAAAUCCUGUUUUCCAGCCGAUCUGAUGCUUUUGCCGUUCGACGAGUUUGAUGUUAUUCUUGGUUUGGAUUGGUUAACCGCGCAUGAUGCGGUUGUGAAUUGCAAAAGCAAGACUAUCGAUUUGAGGUGCGCGAAUGACGAAAUAAUCCGAGUUGAGUCUGCGGACUUAAGGGGGUUGCCAGCUGUAAUAUCAGCAAUGUUGGCCCAGAAAUAUGUAAGGAAAGGGUGCGAAGUAUACCUCGCGCAUGUACUUGAUGACAAGGAGUUAGAAAAGAAACCCGAGUCGGUGCCGGUGGUUUGUGAAUACCCGGAUGUUUUUCCUGAAGAGUUACCGGGUUUGCCACCUAUUCAGGAAGUAGAGUUUGGAAUUGAGCUUAUACCUGGAACUACGCCAAUCUCGAUCGCUCCGUAUCGUAUGGCACUAACCGAGUUAAAAGAGUUGAAAGCUCAGUUGCAAGAAUUGACGGAUAGAGGCUUCGCUCGACCGAGUUUCUCACCUUGGGGUGCACCAGUAUUGUUCGUGAAAAAGAAGGACGGAACCAUGAGGUUGUGCAUUGACUAUCGUCAAUUGAAUAAAGUGACGAUAAAGAAUAAGUAUCCGUUACCGCGUAUUGAUGAUCUGUUCGAUCAAUUAAAGGGAGCAUCGGUGUUUUCAAAGAUAGAUUUGAGAUCGGGUUAUUAUCAGUUGCGGAUUCGAGAUUCGGACGUACCCAAAACUGCUUUCAGAACGAGGUACGGUCACUACGAGUUCUUAGUGAUGCCGUUUGGGCUCACUAAUGCCCCUGCGGUGUUUAUGGAUCUGAUGAAUCGGAUCUUCAGGCCGUAUUUGGAUCGGUUUGUAGUUGUGUUUAUUGAUGACAUCUUGGUCUAUUCAAGAGAUGAGACCGAACAUGCUGAGCAUCUGAGGCAAGUGUUGCAAAUUUUGCGGGAUAAGCAGUUAUAUGCUAAGUUCAGUAAGUGUGAGUUCUGGUUAAGAGAGGUUAGCUUCUUGGGUCAUGUGGUAUCCGCAUCGGGUAUUCGAGUUGACCCAAGCAAAAUUUCAGCCAUACUUAACUGGAAGCCUCCGAGAAAUGUUACCGAGGUCCGGAGCUUUCUAGGGCUCGCCGGCUAUUACCGACGAUUUGUCAAAGGUUUCUCGAUGAUAGCCACACCAAUGACGAAGCUACUUCAGAAGGAUGUUAAGUUCGAAUGGACGGAGAAAUGUCAGAAAAGCUUCGAUCAACUGAAAACUCAUCUGACUGAAGCUCCAAUUUUGGUGCAACCCGAAUCGGGUAAAGAGUUUGUUGUUUAUAGUGACGUAUCCCUACUCGGGUUGGGUUGCGUAUUGAUGCAAGAAGGUCGAGUUGUGGCCUAUGCGUCGAGACAAUUGAAGCCACACGAAAGAAAUUAUCCGACCCAUGAUCUCGAACUAGCCGCCAUUGUGUUUGCAUUGAAAAUAUGGCGACAUUAUUUGUUUGGUGAGAAGUGCCAUGUGUUUUCGGAUCACAAAAGUCUCAAAUAUUUGAUGACUCAACGAGACUUGAAUCUGCGACAAAGACGUUGGCUUGAGUUGUUGAAAGAUUACGAGCUUGUCAUUGAUUACCAUCCGGGAAAGGCUAAUGUGGUUGCGGACGCCUUAAGCCGGAAAUCACUGUUUGCUUUGCGAGCGAUGAAUGUACACUUGUCUGUUCUACCUGACAAUGUGUUAGUAGCUGAAUUAAAAGCCAAACCAUUAUUGACUCAUCAAAUUCGUGAAGCUCAGAAAGUCGAUGAUGAAUUGGUUGCAAAACGAGCUGAGUGUGUUCCGAACAAGGAAUCGGAGUUUCAGAUUGAUGAUGAUGGUUGUUUGAGGUUUAGAAGUCGUUUGUGCAUUCCAAGGAAUUCAGAACUCAUUCCGAUGAUUCUGAACGAAGCCCAUUGUGGCCGAAUGUCAAUUCACCCGGGGAGCACGAAAAUGUACAACGACUUGAAACGUCGGUUUUGGUGGCAUGGUAUGAAGCGAGACAUCUCCGACUUUGUUUCGAGAUGUUUAAUAUGUCAACAAGUGAAAGCGGAACAUCAAGUGCCUUCAGGAUUACUUCAGCCGAUCAUGAUACCCGAGUGGAAAUGGGACCGAGUGACAAUGGACUUUGUGUCCGGACUGCCAUUGUCCGCAAGUAAGAAGGAUGCGAUUUGGGUUGUUGUUGAUAGGCUGACUAAGUCGGCUCACUUUAUCCCCGUGCGUACGGAUUUUUCAUUGGAUAAACUAGCCGAAUUGUAGGUUACUCAGAUUGUGAGAUUACAUGGAGUACCUAUUUCUAUCGUGUCGGAUAGAGAUUCGAGAUUCACCUCGCGAUUUUGGAAGAAAUUGCAAGAAGCUUUGGGUACCAAGCUGCAUUUUAGCACCGCUUUUCAUCCCUAAACCGAUGGUCAAUCCGAGCGGAUAAUUCAGAUACUCGAGGAUAUGCUGAGAUGCUGCAUCCUUGAGUUUAGUGGUUCAUGGGAACGGUAUGUACCUUUGAUUGAAUUCGCUUACAACAAUAGUUUUCAAUCAAGUAUUAAGAUGGCACCUUACGAGGCUUUGUACGGUCGUAAAUGCCGAACGCCAUUGUUUUGGACCGAGCUCGGUGAAAGUAAAAUUUUCGGAGUUGAUUUGAUUAAAGAUGCCGAACAGAAAGUAAAGGUAAUCCGUGAAAGUCUGAAGGUAGCCACAGAUCGUCAAAAAUCGUAUGCGGAUCUGAAACGGAAGGACAUUGAAUAUCAGGUGGGAGAUAAAGUGUUCCUCAAAGUUUCGCCUUGGAAAAAGGUACUCAGGUUUGGCCGUAAAGGCAAGUUGAGCCCGAGAUUCAUUGGGCCGUACGAAAUUUCCGAACGAGUGGGGCCGGUUGCAUAUAGAUUGAUUUUGCCUCCUGAACUUGAAAAGAUUCACGACGUCUUUCAUGUUUCGAUGCUUCGGCGCUAUAGAUCUGAUCCUUCGCACAUAAUUAGUCUGUCGGAGGUUGAAAUUCAGGCUGAUAUGAGCUAUGAAGAAGAACCGAUUCGUAUCCUAACUCGUGAAGUGAAAGAGUUGCGAAAUAAAAGGGUUCCGUUGGUUAAGGUGUUGUGGCUUAAACACGGGAUCGAGGAAGCAACCUGGGAAACCGAGAGCUCGAUGAAAGAACGAUACCCAAACCUAUUUACCGGUAAGAUUUUCGGGGACGAAAAUUUCUUAUGUGGGGGAGAGUUGUGACAACCCAAAUUAGACCCUGGUCGGAAUGUGGUUUCGAGACCACAUUACCGAGCCAAAAAUUUAUUUUCGUGUUUUAAUUGCAUAAAUUGUUGUGUGACAGUGAAUGUAUGAGAAAUUAAAUGCUUAAUAUUAGCAUUAGGAUUGUGAAUUCAUUCAAAAAGGACCUAGUUGACGAAGUUAGAAAAGAUGAUAGAUGAAUUAUAAGGAUUAAUUAAUAAUAGGUUGAGGAAGCAUGGCUUUGCAUGUCAAUUUGCCCAUAAAAUUCAUGGUGGCCGGCCAAGGAGUGAUGAUGCUCCACUCAUUCUAAUUUAAUAUGUUUCUUUGGUGAACAAAUGAUGGGGAUAAUAAUAAAAAAGGGAACAAAAAAAAAUGGGUGUCAUACUUGCCAUCUCCUAGCCGAAAAACCAAGAAAAAGAAGGGGAGAAAAGAACUUGGAAGGAAUUCGGCCAUUGCUUGUGCCUAGGGAGAGUGUUUGAUGUUGUGGCAUGAAAAAUGAGGGAGUUUGAAUGCUUAAUAAGGAGGGAAGAAGGAGUGUUCAUAUUUUCUUUCUUUUGCAAUUGUUCUAACUAGAGGAAGAAGAGGAAGCAAGAUUCGGCCAAGGUGGUCCUUUAGACCAAGGUAUGUUCAAUGAUAUUUUUGGAAGCUUACCCUACCUUUGGGGUGAUGAGUCUAGAUUCUAUCUAUUCCAUGGUUGGAUUUGGGGUUGUUGGAGAGUUAGGAUUCGGCUAAGGAGUUUAAAAAUAAAAGCUAGUUGAUACCUUGAUGCUAUUAGCAUGCUAGUUAUAUGGUUGUGUUAAGUUGCUUGUUAUGUUAGCAUGAAAGUUGAAAAUUGUUAAGCUAUUUUGUUGGAGGUGCCGAACUUAGGACUAGGAAGAGAAUGAGUAUUCGGCUAACAUAGUGGAAAGGUGGUGUUGCCGAUUGCUAGAUUUAGACUAGGGGAGUGGCUGUAAUGGGCAUUAAGAUGUGGGACUUAAGAAAUGUAGUUAUAUGUGGACUUACAUGAUGUUACAAAUAGAUGUGAAAAUAUGCUAGAUUAGGAAAACUCGAUUAAGUGUUCAUGAGAUGAAAUUAGGUGUUUAAAUGAUGUUAUAGUUGACAUUGUACAUGUAUACAUGCAUUUCGGCCAUGGUCUUUGCUUGAAUUUGAGAUUUGUAAUGUGAUUUUCCUAAAUUGUCUAUGAAUUUUUGGUUGUUGAUUCCAUGGUAAUGGUAUAUUGAAUCCAUGAAAAUUUAGUAAGGUUGCAUUCGGCAACUUGCUUGGAAUUAAAAAUUGAUGUCUAAGCUUAGGUGAUUUCGAUGAUGAUAUAUAUAUAUAUUCAUAAGUAUAUUUAGUUGAUUCGGCUUUGGUAGUUGCAUGAGGCUAUUGGCCGAAUAUACUAACAUACAUAUACAUGUGAAAUUGGAUUGUAAAUAUUUAGCAAGGUGGUUAAACUAGUUAAAUUAUUGAUUUAGCUCAAGGAGUUAAAGGAGGUGAAUCGAGCAAAGGCAAAGAAAAGGUUAUCGAGUAGCCGAGUUGGAACCGUCUUACCCAACACGAGGUAAGUCAUUAAGCAUGUAGUGGGUAUUAUUUCAAAUGGUCAUAAUGUGUAUGUAUUGAUGCUGAUUGGAAUGAAUAAAUAUACAUAUAUAUAUAUGCAUGUACGUAUGUGAUGAUGAAAUUGUUGAAUGAGUGAAAAGAGGUAAGAUGUACUGAGUUGUUGAUCUCGGCACUAAACGUGCGGGAUAACCAUUUAUGACCAUGAGAUUGGCGCUAAGUGCGCGGGAUUAAAUUGUACAGCACUAAGUGUGCGAUUCGACUAUGUUGCACUAAGUGUGCGAAAUGAAUAUGAUGCACUAAGUGUGCGAAUUGACCAUGCGGCACUAAGUGUGCGAGUCUAACUAUGUAGCACUAAGUGUGCGAUUUGAUUACGUGGCACUAAGUGUGCGAGUUGAUUGUAUAGCACUGAGUGUGCGGGCUCAAUAUACAUUCGUGAAUCAUUAUGGACACUAUGUGUGCGACACUAUUGAGUCGAUCGCGGACAGCGGGUCGGGUAAGUGUCUUGAGCACGUGGUUAAUAGGUGCUAUGCUUAUACUUGGUGUUGAGCUCGGUAAGUUCGAACCUAUGUGACAUAUAUACUUGAAGUCACGUACAUAAAAUUUAUCGUAGGAUGGGUGAAAGGCCGUAUAGUCGUUUGAUUGUAACGAAAAUAAAUUGAUUUAUGAAAUUGCUUCAAUGUCCUAUUGAUGAGUAUAUAGAAUGUGAAUGCAUGAAUUGAUAUGAAAUUGAAUUGAGAGGUUGGAGGAACUAUGGUAUGGUUCGGUAUGGAUGGAGUAAAUUGUCUCGUUCUAUUUUGUUUCCUCUUGUGAUAAUGUUGUCGAUAGAUGGUAGUGCAUUGCUUAUGACUUACUGAGUUAUAAACUCACUCGAUGUUUCCUUGUCACCCAUUAUAGGUUGCUUGGACUCAUCUAUUUUUGCGGGGUCGGGCCGUCAUCGAAGUCAUCACACCGGAUAGCAAGUUUUGGUACUUUCUUCUUAGUGUGUUUAGAAGAUCAUUUUGGCAUGUAUAAGCUAGUACGUUGUGUUUGAAUUAUGGCAUGUAAACUUUAAGCCAUGCGAAAAUGGCACGAAUGUUCGAUUGAAUUGGAUCAAGGGUAGACAUGAAAUGGACCUAGUUACUUUCGUAACAGAUGCUGGCAGCAGCAGUGUCAUGAGAUUGAAAAAUCACUAAAAAUAGUAGGAGUGGAAUUAAUUGAUGAAUAAAUUAUGUAAUCGAAGCUCGAUGAGUCUGCUUUCAUGAGGAGGUAACGAAAAGAUCAUAUGGGCAGUAUAUUAAGAGAUAAUCAGAUUUUAGUGGGACAGGGCCAGAACGGUUUCUGGAUUCCCUGCUCCGACUUUGGAAAUUCAUUAUAAAUUAACCAGAGAUAAUUAGGGGUCGUACCACAUAUGUACAGAUUCCUCUCUAAGUCUAGUUUUCAUAGAAACAAACGGAAACAGAAUUGAAGCCCCGUGCAGGGAGAUAUCCAAGUCGUAAUGGGCAAAGGUCAGUGUAGUCGACCCCUGCAACUUGGGAGACUUUGACUAAUAAACUGUACUAAUUGGCCCGACCAAAAAUUCUAGAAAAAAAUACAUAGAUGGGCACAUGAGUCUAGUUUCGGGGAAAAAUUACGAAACUGAUUUUUGAGUUACGAAACUCAAGAUAUGAUUUUUAAAACGACUAGUACACAGAUUGGGCAGUGUCUGGAAAAUAAAUUUUGUAAGGGGUUAAAGCCAGUUAACACCUCGUGUUCGACUCCGGUGUCGGUUUCGGGUUCGGGGUGUUACAAAAUGUUUCUAUGCAAGAAAGAGUAAAGAGUGAAAAAAUUGGUGGCUGGAUAGUGGUGGAGCGCCGACAACGGAGGUUGACCAAGAGGAGCAGAGCCGGUUUGAAUGAUAAUCAAGAAAAGAAUCUUAGCAGAUCAAGAUUAAUGCUUUCACGAGUUUAGGAGAUGAUGUUGGAGAGAUUUAAAUAGGAAAUACUUGAAUAUUUAAGUUUGCAAAGAAAAAUAAUUCUCAAGCAAAUUUUUUGGUGGAAUCUUUGGGAGUAGCUAAAGGAAAGCUUUUAAAAAAAUAAAGGCAAAGAAAUCUUUAGGAAAUCAAAUGAAGGGACACUAGUAGUAAACAAAGCAAAGGUAAAGGCCUGGUGAAGAGUCAAGCCCAAAGUAAAAUAUAGUACCUAAAGCAACCUUUGGUGGGCUCGGUUGGAGGUAAAAUCAAUAAUGGGAAACUGGAAAGAAAUAAAUUAGGGCAAGGGUCAGGAUUGAUGGGCCUGACAGAUAGGUCAGAUGGAGUACCUUCAUUGUUUAAUUUUUCAGAUUACAAAAUCGAAAUGGGUUUAGAUCAUACCCACCAUAUAGUUAUCUUUGUUGAGGAGAAUCAGUUCCCAAUUUUAGCAGUUAGGAAUAAAUAAGCUCUUGAUUCUGAUAUUGUUAUCCAUAAUCUGAUACCUUCAUCUUUUCUUCCACCAGAUUCGAAGAAGAAAUUAUCCAAUUAUGCUUUAAGAUUAGGUCAUAGGAGAGAAAAUCGUGAUCAGUCUGAAGUCAAUGAGUCAACCCCAGUACAACAAGCUAUCUAGGGGAUUAUUGAUAGAUUGAAACUAUAAACCGAGAAUGAUAAUUGAUCUUCCACGAUCUAGGUUGUUAUUUACAUACCUUUUUCACUAACUUUAACCUGUUUAAUAGCUAAAUCAAGUGAUUUUAGUAUAUAUUUAUGUUUUUAUAUUUGGAUUAUCCAGUAAUUUUUAUUACACUUUAGAUAAUUAAAUAAAGUUACAUGGCCAUGUAGGUCAAACCGAGAGUUAAAAAUUACUAUCUAGGCUGAAACUAUUGCCAACGUCGCAACACUAAAGAUAGAAGCAAUUAAGGACAAAAGAGGGGGUGAUAUCGCGAUGAUGCAACAUUUACUCGGUUAAAUCAGCUGCGUUUUUUUUACAACCUAGCAGGGUUCGCUUCCCAAUCGACAUCUAUGUACUUCACCUAUUUAAUCACCUAGAACUAAUUCUCAACCUUUAAACUACCACAAAGCUAUUCAAUUCAUCUUAUCAAAAUUUUUGACAUGUUUAUGGCAAUUUUCAUGAAAAUUCGUUAAAUCCUUAGAAAUCCUUAAAAAAAACUUUAAAAUCAGUUUAGAAACCUUCUAAUCAUGUCAAAAUUAAUUGAAUAACACUUUGAAAUCACGUUUUUACUCAAAAAUUUGAAAUACACCAUUAACGACCUAAUUUUCGACUUUUAAUCAAAACAUGCAAUUUAAUGAUUAAAAACUCAUCUUUAAAGACUACAUAAUAUCUGAAACUGAUAGAAAGGCAAAAGGUUACCUUCGAUGGAAGAAAAAUGAACUUUUAACGUGAAUCUUAGAAAACCCACAAGUGAGGAAGAUGAUGAAAUCAAUGAGAUUUUGGGGUGUUUUCUUGAAAUAUUAUGUAGAUAAUGACUUAAGUGAUGAUAGUAAUCAAAAGGAUGAUGAUUUAACAAAGAAAAUCGAAGAUGAGAGGUUAGGAGAUUAAGGGACGACACAAACUAGCAAAAAAGAAGAGUUGUGACACCCCUAAAGUGACCCUAGUCGGAAAGCGGUCUCGGGACCGCUAGACCGAGUCACCAAAUUAUUUGAAUGUGAUAAUUAUUGCCUAAAAUAUGUGAAUGUAAAUGUGUGAAAGUUUUAAGCUUCGAUUUAGUUAAUUGCAUGUGAAUUUAGUUGAUAGGACUUAUGUGAGAAAAUUUAGAAAUGUGCUAGGCAAAUGCAAGUGGCCUAAUAGUGCAUGUAAUCAAAGGGGUGGACUUGCAUGUCAAUUUCCCCCUAUUUAAGUACUAGUGGCCGGCCAUGACAAGGGAUGAUGGGCAAAACAUGUCAUGAAACAUGUUGUGUUAAUGGAAAAAUAAAAUAAGAAGCAUGGGCAAAACAUGUCAUGAAACAUGUUGUGUUAAUGGAAGAAUAAAAUAAGAAGUAUGGGCAAUAAACUAAUAAGAAAUUGAAGGAAGAAAACAAAGAGAAAAAAAAUGUGUUCAUCAUUCUCAUGCAUGACCAAAAAAAAAGAAGAAGAGAAAAGCUCUCAUGUUGUUCUUGGCCGAAUAGGAGAAAGAAAAAGAAGGAAAAAGAGCUUUGAGGAAAUCGGCAAUGGUGGUUUGAUAGACUAAGGUAUGUUUGAUGAUGUUCCAUGAGAUGCAUGCAUGUUUUAGUAGUUAGCUUGAGUUCUAAAUAGCCCAUGGUUCAAAUCUUUACUAUGUCAUGGAGAUGAUAUUCGGCCAAGGUGGAUUGGUGUUGAUAUCAUUUGCAUGCUAAAAGGUGGCCAUAUGACCUAUCAAACUCCUUGUCAUAUUCGGCCAUAAGCUAGCAAAAUGAGACUUUAAUGAGUUAAAUUUGUUUGAAUUAACCUCAAGAGCAAAGGGGAACUAAAUCCGAUAAAGGGAAGGAAAAAGUGGUCGAAUAGCCGCCGAAAUCGUUCGACAACAUCCGAGGUAAGUUUUAAGUGAUUAAACGUUGAGUAAAUUCAAUCAUAAUAGGACAUAAUGAGUUGAUUUAAUAAGAUAUGAUGUGGCCAUGAUAUGUCUUAAACUCAAAUGGUAAGUUCAUAUGUGUUUGGACUUGGAUAUUUAAGAGCAAAUUGUAAUAAUUUGCUUUGGACAACAGCAGUAACGUGAUUUUAGAAAAUCACUAUAAAUUGUUGGUGUGGAAUUAUAGGCUGAAUAAAAUAUGUAAUCAAGGCUUAAUUAGUCUAGUUUCUUAUAAAAGAGACCUUGUGAGCAAAGAAAUUUCCUAUAAAGAGAUAUUUAAAGUUGUGUGAGACGGUGUCAGAAUGACUCCGAAAUCCCCUGUUCUGUUUUUAGAAAAUCAUUAUAAAUUGUAAAAAAAUGGUUAUAAGAUAAAAUUUAUAUUCUUAGACUCCUUAAUGAGUCUAGUUUCAAAUGAAAUCAAAUACAACACAUUUUGAAUUCUGUAAAAUGAUAAAUUUGAUUCGUAGUGAAGAGUGGUCAGAUUAGUCAAACAGUGAAACAGGGGAAACUUUAAGAAAAAUCUGGUAUUGAUUGGCCAAACCUAAAAUUCUGGAAAUUUUAUGGAUGGAAGAUAUACGAGUCUAUAUUCAGGAAAAAUUAACGGCAAGUGAUUUGGAGUUUUGUAGCUCCGGUUAUAAAUAAUUUAGUGACCAUUGCUCAGGAAAAUAGCUCGUAGUGAAUAUGUGAUUUUGUUGUAAACAUGGAUAAAACUUGUUUUAGUUGCUCAUAAGCUAUUGAUUAAACCCAUACUUGAAUUCUAAAUCGUGAUAUUGUAAGCUUAUGAGUAUUCGAAUAUGAAAUGAUAGUAUGGCGUAAAAUUGAAUUAUUCAUUGGAAAGUGAUGGAUGUAGAUUCGGCCAAGACCAAGUCUGUACAUGAUAGUAUAUGUGGUAUGUGAAGUAUAUUUGAAUAAAUGUGAAAGUGUAUAUAUGUGAUAAGGCCUAAAUGCCAAUGUGAUGAAUGUGAAAGUGUAUAUAUAUGUGAUAAGGCCUAAUGGCCAAUGUGAUGAAUGUAAAAGUGUAUAUAUAUGUGAUAAGGCCUAAUGGCCGAUGUGAUGAAUGUGAAAGUGUAUAUAUGUGAUAAGGCCGAAUGGCCAAUGUGAUGAAUGUGAAAGUGUAUAUAUAUGUGAUAAGGCCUAAUGGCCGAUGUGAUGAAUGUGAAAGUGUAUAUAUGUGAUAAGGCCGAAUGGCCAAUGUGAUUAAUGUGAAAGUGUAUAUAUAUGUGAUAAGGCCGAAUGGCCAAUGUGAUGAAUGUGAACAUGUGUAUGUGUGAUAAGGCCGAAUGGCCAAUGUGAUGAAUGAGAACAUGCAUAUAUGAGAUAAGGCCGAAUGGCCAAUGUGAUGAAUGUGAACAUGUGUAUGUGUGAUAAGGCCGAAUGGCCAAUGUGAUGAAUGUGAACAUGUGUAUGUGUGAUAAGGCCGAAUGGUCAAUGUGAUGAAUGUGAACAUGCAUAUAUGAGAUAAGGCCGAAUGGCCAAUGUGAUGAAUGUGAAAGUGUAUAUAUGUGAUAAGGCCGAAUGGCCAAUGUGAUGGAUGUGGAAGUGUAUAAAUGUGAUAAGUCCCGAAGGGCAAUUGUGUCAGUACUAUAUCCGGGUUAAAACCCCGCAGGCUUUAUGCGAGAAUAUUAUCCUGAUUAAUGUCCGUAGGCUUCGUGCUCGUACUAUAUCCGAGCUUUAAAGACCCGACGGCUAAAUGCUAGGAUUCAAGUAAGACUUUGAUAUUGAGUAUCUGCAUUAAGUUACCAUCAAAUAAGUAUUAUGUAUUCAAGAUGUUCAGGUACGUAUUACUUACUCAUCGGUGGAGUGAUUUCGAGGUGAAUUAUCAGUAUCAAAGAUGUAGGUAAAUGUGAUUAAUAUUAUAACUCCAAAUGUGAGAAUGAUCUAAUUGGUAAUGGUAUGUUUGUAUAAUAAAGUAUGCGAUGAAAUAUUCUUAUGUAUUAGUGCAUAUUCUGCCCAAAAGCCUUAUGAUCUGAGUAUGGGUUGGGUUGAGCUAGAUGUGCCAGUACAAGGUAAGGAUUAUGAUUUGUAAGCUUACACAUAUGUGAUAAGGAAUAUGUUGGUUCUUUAUGUGCCUAUGGUAAUUUAGUACUUGUCAUGUAGAAAUACUUAAAAGUAUGGAUGUGAUUAUGAACAAGUGGAAAGGAUUAUUGAAAGUUGAAAAUCGAUGAAGAAUGUGCUUUGGAAAUAUUUGACCAUCUAGGUCAUUAUUACUCAAAAGUAUAUAUGUGGCAGCCAAGUGUUGCGUUUAAUGAUAUUAUAGAUCGAGAUGAAGCUCUAGAUUAACUUCAUCGAACAGUUGAAAUGAAUGACCAAUGAUAGUGAUUGAGAACACUUUGUUUUGCUUAAAACUUACUAAGCAUUAAAUGCUUACUCCGUUCUUUGAAUCUCUGUUUUAUAGAUUUUGGUUCGUCAGCUAUCGGACUCGGGAUUAUUGAAGUCGAAGUCGCCCACACUAUCAAAACCCUUUUGGUACACUUUUGGUUGAACUCUGAAAAUGGCAUGUAUAGGACUACCCUUUUGUUGUUGGUCAUGUACCCUUCGGUUUUGUAUAAUUUUGGAUAGCCAUGCGAAAAUGGCUUAUAUAUGUUUGAGCAUAAUGUUAUAAUCAUUUGGUAUGGAUAUGGUUAUUGAGAGGUGUGGAUAUGCUUAACAAGGAUUGGCCAUGGGAAUGGUUAAUCAUUAUCAUAAUUUGUGCUAUUUAUGCUAAAAGGGCUAGUUGAAUCAUGGGAACUAUGAAAUAGGUAAAGUCUACCUUAAAGGCAGAUGCUGACAGCAGCAGUGAUGUAGAUUUGGAAAAUCACUAAAAAUAGUAGGAAUGAAAUUAAAUAGUGAAUAAAUUAUUUAAAUGAACCUUGAUGAAUCCACUUUCAUAUAGAAGAAACGAAACGGUCAUAUGAGUGGUAUGUUAAGAGAUAAUUAGGUUUUCGUGAAACAGGGCCAGAACAGUUUCUAGAUUCCCUAUUCCGAAUUUGGAAAUUCAUUAUAAAUUAAACAGAGAUAAUUAGGAGUCAUUCCAUAUAUGUAUAGAUUCCUCUCUGAGUCUAGUUUCUAUAGAAACAAACGGCAUCAGUAUUGAAGCCCUGUACAGGGAGAUAUCCAAAUUGUAAUGCAUGAAGGUCAGUGUAGUCGCACCCUGUAACAGGGGACACUUUAACUAAUAAACUGUACUAAUUGGCCCGACCAAAAAUUCUAGAAAACAAUAUGUAGAUGGAAAUAUGAUUCUAGUUUCAGGAAAAAAUCACGAAACUGAUUUUCGAGUUGUGAAACUCAAGAUAUGAUUUUUAAGGUGACAGCGACACAGUUAGCCAGCUGUCUGGAAAUUUUUAAAAUGGACUGCGAUAGUAAGCGAAUUUAGUCUGUGAACCCCUCGUGUCCGACUCCGGCAACGGUCUCGGGUACGGGGCGUUACAAGAGUUAACGUGAAAUCUAUAGGUAAGGGAUGAUUUUAAGUUGUAUUUCUAAAAUUUGGUAAAGCUGCUUCAUAAACACACAAAAUUUUGAUCCUUUUAUAAAUCAACAAUUAUUUCAAAAUUAAAUGCCUUUUCAGUAUUAUUUUCAAAAAUUAGUUUAAUUUUCAAAAUAACACAGACAAAAACAUUUACGAUUACCAUGCUUACAAAAUUUCGAGCACACUAAAGCUAAAAUCCCUAAAAUACCCCUAAAACUCCAAGGUCCUAUUUUAGGGUGUUAUAUUAUGUAUAAUGCCCGGUUGAACAUAUCGCUAGGAUAUGAUAGGCAUGCCAAUAGGGUUAGUAUGCGCGCUAGUAGGAGAUUGCACUUCAAUGCCCCUAUUUGAACUUCAAUGUCUCUGAUUGCACAAUCAUGCCUCUACCUGCACUUCGAUGCCUCUGUUACGUAUCUAUGAUGCUUUGGGUGUGGUGUAGUUACCCGAGUAUCUGAGUUGAGUACUUAGUUCAUCGGGCUAAAUGUUAACGAAAUGUACAAUUGACUUGUGGACUUAAAUGUUUAUGUAUAUUCAAGAUAUUAGAAAGUGUUAGUGUUCAGUGAACUACUUAUUUAUAUGUGAGUACAUUUACAUUGAUGAAAUUUUGUUUAUGGAACUGAUAAGUCAUUUAAGAAGAGGGUUAUCAUUAUAUAUUUUGAUAUGUGAUCAGGAACUAAUGUAGGUUGUGAAUGUGUAUUUGGCUAUCAAAAAUUAUAAAUUAUCUCUUUAUAUUUUGAUGUCCAUUAAGGUAACUUAGUUUGAUGUUUUAGACUAUGAGCUUACUAAGCUUCUUUAUCUUGUUUCAUUUAUGUUCUUUUGUAGUUUUCAAGUUUGCGGACUGACCGGAUGGAUCGACUGGACGCUCACACUAUCCAGCUAUUUUGGUAGUUGUUGCUUUCUAUUUUGGGAUAUGGCAUAUAUAUAGAUGUUUUGUUGUAAUUAUGUAAAUGCUAUGCUAAAUUUGUGUUCCUAGUGAAAUGCUUGGUUUGAAUGUGUAUGUUUAAAGUGUUUUUUUGGUUGGGUUCAUUCCUAAUGGUCAAGAGUUAGAUGUUAACACUUUGGAAUGGUGAAAUUUGAAUAUGUUUAUAGUUUGGUCAAUUUGGUUUAUGGAUUGACCAUGAAUAGAUGAUUAAUGCUAUGUGAUUACUUAGCUAGGUUAGUUGAGUGAAUGAUCUUUGAUUGUGGUGCCUUUGAAUGGCCUAUUGGUUUGGUAUAGGAUGAAUGAAUUUUUGGCAUAUAAUUGAUGAUUUGAAUGUGUUUUUGAACCUAGGAAAUGAUCUAGAUAUGGGAUGUCUUGUUGUGCAAGGAAUGGUGCAUGACUUUUCUUAAUUUAAGGGUUAAAAAUGAUGUAUGCGGCUUGGGACAUAGGCUGUCACACGAUCGUAUGCCACACACGGUCACCUUACACAGUCGUAUGUAUUAUUUGUUUUUUAGGUGCAAUAUCCACACAGCCAAGCACAUGGCCUACAACAUGACCGUGUGAGUGAAAACAAUUUAUUACACAUUCUAACAUAUAGCCUGCAACACGACCGUGUAACCUAACUUGAAUACACACACAGUCUGGCACACGGCUGUGUGGCCCUAUUUCAAAUGUUCACACGGGCUGAUACACGAGCUAGGACACUAUCGUGUAUCCUGACUUCAAAUGUUCACAUGGCUGUGUGACUCUUUUUUUGAAAAUUUUCAAGUUUUUCUAAAUUUUUCUGAUUUGUUUCAAUUUAACCGCAAAUUGUUCUCAAACUAUUUUUAGGGCCCUGUAAGCUCAAAUUAAGGCCCAUAAGUGUAUUUAUAUCCCGAAUUGAUUUAUUUGUUAUGUGUUUGCAAUUUAUUUGGUUAACUAUAGUGAAUUGAAGUGAAAUGUUCUGUUUAGUUCGGUAACACUUCAUAACCUUAAUCUGGCAACGAAGACGGGAUGGGGUGUUACACUAACAUUGUAGGAAGGCAUCCAACUAAAAGCACUUUCUUGCUCAAUCAGAUGAAAAUGCGUCCAGUUGGACGCGUUUUCAUAUUCUCUCUCCUAGACCAGGUUUAAGGAUUUUUAGGGUUUUAAAGGGUUUUUAGGGUAUUUAUCUUUUAAGGUUGGAAAUAUGGAGAGAUUGAUUUAAUGGUAUUCGGGUUUGAGGUAGAAAUUGUAAAAGCUUAAAGGUAUAUUCAAUUGACGGUGAUGCGAUAGCAUUGGGAUACCUACUAUAAUAUCCUUAAAUCGGGUCUAGUAGUUUCAGGCAUAUUUUUCGGGUUCCGAGUGUGAGUUUAGAAAUUUAUCGGGUUAAUAGUAAGUUUUUUAAUUUAAUAUAGGAGGUUAAUUUUAUCUAAACUCGAUUAAACAAUAAUCUAGAAAAAUAAAAAUAUUUUUGGAAAAUUAAUUUUAAAGUAAUUAAAUAAUUAUUAGUGAAAAUAAUUAAUUUGGGUCGAAAAAGAAUUUUAAAAUAAUUUUUAUUGGGGUUAAUUUGAGUUAAAUUUAAAUAUUAAUUAAAUUAGUUUUAAUUGUAAAAUACGAUAAAUUUGGGAGUAUUUAUUUGAAAAAUAAACCUUUAAAUUCGGA
rnacentral:lncRNA from 1 species